rfam:Morus notabilis contig10770, whole genome shotgun sequence.
GUCCCUUCAGAGACAUCCAAUAAAAUUACAACGAUAUUGGGAAGAUUAUAACAUGAUUUCUGCACAAGAAUGACACAUACAAAUUUAAAAAUGGUCUCAAAUUAAU